rnacentral:tRNA from 5 species
GUCGGGAUAGCUGCAGGCAGAUAGAGCAGAGGACUGAAAAUCCUCGUGUCAC